AUUCAAAGGAAUUGACGGGGGCUCACACAAGCGGUGGAGCAUGUGGAUUAAUUCGAAGCAACGCGAAGAACCUUACCUGGGUUUGACAUGUUUGGAUGCCUAUCUGGAAACAGAUUUUGGCUGCCCUUCGGGGUGAAACUUACACAGGUGCUGCAUGGCUGUCGUCAGUUCGUGUCGUGAGACGUCGGGUUAAGUCCCUCAACGAGCGAAACCCUUGCCGUUAGUUGCCAGCGAGUAAUGUCGGGGACUCUAACGGGACUGCCGGUGUUAAACCGGAGGAAGGCGGGGACGACGUCAAGUCAUCAUGGCCUUUAUGCCCAGGGCUUCACACGUGCUACAAUGGCGGUUACAGAGGGAAGCAAUAUCGCGAGAUGGAGCAAAUCUCUUAAAAACCGUCCCAGUACGGAUCGCAGGCUGCAACUCGCCUGCGUGAAGGUGGAAUCGCUAGUAAUCG
rnacentral:rRNA from 1 species